AAGGAAUAUAAAAGCAUAAAACGUUACUCCUUACUGAAUGCAGAGGGGAGUUUUAACCUCACUAUUUCUAACGUGGAGCCGUCAGAUUCUGCAGUGUAUUAUUGUGCUACUAUGUUUCUUCAUGAGGUCACCUUUGGGAAUGGAACCUUUGUCAUAACCACAGGUAAAGACUCCAACAGCAGGACAGUGGUACAGCAGCCUGUGUCUGACACAUUGCAGCCAGGAGACUCUGUGAGCCUGCAGUGUACGAUAGAGACUGGGAGCUGUGCAGGAGAACACAGUGUUUACUGGUUCAGACAUGGAUCAGGAGAAUCCCUUCCUGGAGUCAUUUACAGCCACGGAAACAGCAGUGAUGAGUGUGAGAAGAGCCCUGAGGCUGGAUCUCCUACACGGAGCUGCGUCUACAGCCUCCCCAAGGGGAACCUCAGCCUCUCCGAUGCUGGGACUUACUACUGCGCCGUGGCCAUGUGUGGGGAGAUGCUGUUUGGGAACGGCACACAGCUGGAU